GCGCACUUUCAGCACCGCCUGUUUCUUCAAUGAAUUCCCCAAUGCGCCAGCACAUGCACUGUAUGUUACAUGCGUUCAGCUACUCAGUUUGCCAAUCGCGCCCUCAAUCGUAGCAAGUAAUGUGGUGGAUGGUAUUGUGAAGGGUUAUUUACCAAAAGAGAAACACUACUACAUCAAUUCUGUUGGUAUAAUACUCGCUGGUCUGCCUGAGCCCCAUCGGAGUGUAAAUGAACACCAUGGGCAAUACAUUGAUACACCAGUCGCGCAAUACAAGCUUAAGCGAGAGAGCACCCUUGAAUUAAAAUGCAUGCACCUUCGCGUUGAUGGGUGUCAGCUGGAUUGACAUAUUAAACAUUACCUUAAUCAUGCAUAUUAAAGCGGAGUAGUCAACACAGCGCAAAGGCAAUGCACGAAGACGCAGAGGCUGCCGCUGUUGGGCGUGUGUAGGGUAUACAAUCCGACAAUUUCUCAAACGUGAACCGGAUAAUAUUAAUUUGGAAACCCGCAGAAACUGGCUAAUGGGCGCAGGGUAAGGCUGACACUGGUACACGGCUAGCAAAUGCGCAGUGCGUCAAUUAAAGAACCGGUUUGAUAACCAAGAAGGAUUAUGCCGUAACAUUACCGCCACCCUGACACUUAUUUAAUAAGUAACAAAUAUGUACAUAUCGCACACUCUUUUCAAAAGUUACACAACCCAAAAUUUGGCAUUAUGUAUAUAAUGCAAUAUUUCAUUUUGCCAGUUUAUUUACAAGUAAAAAAGUGCUAAUCUGACACAUCCAAAUUAUAUUCAACUAUAAGUACAUAUUUAAGUUUCACUAGAAAAUUUCAGUAGCCUGUAAGAAAACUAAUGAAAUAAAAUCAUACUAUUUAGCCUUAGAAAUU
rnacentral:lncRNA from 1 species